UACGUAGGUGGCAAGCGUUGUCCGGAUUUACUGGGCGUAAAGAGCGCGCAGGCGGUCGUUCAAGUCGCGUGUGAAAGCCCCCGGCUCAACUGGGGAGGGUCACGCGAUACUGAUCGACUCGAAGGCAGGAGAGGGUAGUGGAAUUCCCGGUGUAGUGGUGAAAUGCGUAGAUAUCGGGAGGAAUACCGAUGGCGAAGGCGGCUCGCUGGGCCAUUCCUGACGCUGAGACGCGAAAGCUAGGGGAGCGAACAGG
rnacentral:rRNA from 1 species